GGUUUCUGCGUAUUUUAUUAUGUUAUCUGGCAUUUUUAGUGGUGGUAAAUAUUCUUUUCGGUGUAACACCGAAAAUAUUGAUAAUUAGACAUAAAAAAAUCAAUACAGAUGGUUAUGAAGACAUAGCAAAAUUUUUAAAUCUAAAUCAAUCUGACUGCAAGUAACAGUAAAUAAUGCAAACAAAGGAUACAUAGCAUAUACACUAAAAUGUCAGUACACAUAGAAUUUGAUUAAAUUAUUAUUGUCACAUACCACUGCUAUUUGCACCAUUGUUAUUCUAAUUGCUAACUGCGCAUGAAUGGAUUAACGAGAUUCUCACUGUCCCUAUUUACUAUGAAGCGAAACCACAACCAAGGGAACAGACUUGGCAAACAGAAAACCCUGUUGAGGAUCAAAUGAGAGAUGGAAAUGGAAGCUUACAUGCACAAAUUAAUGAAGAUGAUACGAGUAAUCAGUUGACUGUUAGCUGAUGACUUUUUUUUUAUUUCAUAGGCUAUUAUGUUUCUUAUUUCUUAUGUUUCGAAAUUUUUGAUUUAAGUUAAGCAAGCCACUCUGUAGUUUAACGAUUCGCACCGAAGACAGUGUCAGACGGGGAGUUCGACUGGAUGGUACAUCUGUCAACGCAGGUGUCCUAAGGCUAAUUCAGAGAGAGAGGAAACCUUUCGUAGAGUAAAAGGGCAAAAGCUCGCUUGAUCUUGAUUUCCAGUACGAAUAUAGACC
rnacentral:ncRNA from 1 species